rnacentral:rRNA from 1 species
UACGUAGGGUGCGAGCGUUGUCCGGAAUUACUGGGCGUAAAGCAUGCGCAGGCGGUUCGUUAUGUCCGUUGUGAAAGCCCCGGGCUCAACCUGGGAAUGGCAAUGGAAACUGGCGAGCUAGAGUGUGGCAGAGGGGGGUGGAAUUCCGCGUGUAGCAGUGAAAUGCGUAGAGAUGCGGAGGAACACCGAUGGCGAAGGCAGCCCCCUGGGCUAGCACUGACGCUCAGGCACGAAAGCGUGGGGAGCAAACAGG